GCUGGCAUGGUGUAGUGGUUUGAGCAUUGGACUACAACUCCGGAGAGAAGAGUUCGAUUAUCUGUCGAGCA